rnacentral:rRNA from 1 species
UACGUAGGGGGCAAGCGUUGUCCGGAUUUAUUGGGCGUAAAGAGCGUGUAGGCGGCCAGACAGGUCCGUUGUGAAAACUCGAGGCUCAACCUCGAGACGCCGAUGGAAACCGUUUGGCUAGAGUCCGGAAGAGGAGAGUGGAAUUCCUGGUGUAGCGGUGAAAUGCGCAGAUAUCAGGAAGAACACCCGUAGCUAAGGCGGCUCUCUAGUACGGUACUGACGCUGAGACGCGAAAGCGUGGGGAGCGAACAGG